rnacentral:rRNA from 1 species
GACGAACGCUGGCGGCGUGCCUAAUACAUGCAAGUCGAACGAGAACGCCCGGUGCUUGCACUGGUCACUCUAGUGGCGAACGGGUGAGUAACACGUGGGUAACCUGCCUAUCAGAGGGGGAUAACAUCCGGAAACGGGUGCUAAUACCGCAUAGGAUUUUGAACCGCAUGGUUUGAUGGGGAAAAGCGGCGCUAGCGUCUGCUGUUGGAUGGACCCCGCGUGCAUUAGCUAGUUGGUAGGGUAACGGCUAACCAAGGCAGUGAUGCUUAGCCGACCUGAGAGGGUGAUCGGCCACAUUGGAACUGAGACACGGCCCAGACUCCUACGGGAGGCAGCAGUAGGGAAUCUUCCGCAAUGGACGAAAGUCUGACGGAGCAACGCCGCGUGAGUGAUGAAGGUUUUCGGAUCGUAAAACUCUGUUGUUAGAGAAGAACAAGUGCUUAAGUAACUGUUAGCGUCUUGACGGUACCUAACCAGAAAGCCACGGCUAACUACGUG